rnacentral:rRNA from 1 species
AGCUCCAAUAGCGUAUAUUAAAGUUGUUGCAGUUAAAAAGCUCGUAGUUGGAUUUCUGGCAGGAGCGGCCGGCCAUGCGCUCUGCGCGUGAGUUUGCGCUGUCUCUGGCCAUCCUCGGGGAGAUCGCGUUUGGCAUUAAGUUGUCGGGCGUGGGAUACCCGUCGUUUACUGUGAAAAAAUUAGAGUGUUUAAAGCAGGCUUAUGCCGUUGAAUAUAUUAGCAUGGAAUAAUAAGAUAGGACUUCGGAACUAUUUUGUUGGUUUGCGUUACGAAGUAAUGAUUAAUAGGGACAGUUGGGGGUAUUCGUAUUUCGUUGUCAGAGGUGAAAUUCUUGGAUUUCCGAAAGACGAACUACUGCGAAAGCAUUUACCAAGGAUGUUUUCAUUAAUCAAGAACGAAA